UUUAGCCACUGUACAAAAGACUAAAAGUUUAAUCUCAGCAGCUUUACAAACAUCGGGACUUCAGUGUUGUGCAAUUACACACCGUUUUAAAGUUAUUUAAUAAAUAACUCUGUUAUUGUCUGGUGAAUAUCGGCUCUAGAGCUGAUAUCAGGACAAUAGUUGAAAAGGAUGAAUUCAAGCUCUGAUAAUCUUUUUACAGCAAACUCUGCACACAUAGAAUAAGGAGUGACAACUUUUCUUCAAGUUCAUGAAUUUAUUUAAAGCCCACCUGCCGCUGUGAAUCCUGAUGCCUUGCUCAUGGUCCGUUUCUGUGUCAGCAGGAGGAAGUGGGGACUGAGAACCGAAGGAACACCAGAACCAAGCUCACUCCAAAGAAAGCAGAGAGCUCUUCCUCAGGUUGUCGGUUUGACUCCCAGAGCAGCAGGAAGGACGGCACGCUGCAGAAGAUCGGAGACUUCCUGCAGAGCUCCCCGACUCUGCUGGGCUCCAAAGCCAAGAAGAUGAUGAGCCUGGUCAGCGGCCGUCUGGACCCAGACUCAGCAGCCGCCUCUUCCUCCCUCAGCCUGAGGGCCAAGAGGGGCAGAAAGAAACUCUACAGACCUGAAAUCUCCUGCCCCAUGGACAUGCCCCCCCACCCGGUAAGAGCCCUGAACCGACAACCUCAGCAAGCUGCAGGAGAACCAGCAGAACCCAGACCUCAGUCAACCAGGCCGGUUUUAUUAGACCUGUUAGUUCAUCAUCAGUUCUUCUUUCCUCCUCUGGUGGAUCUGCUGAGGGUCCAGACCUGUUUCCUGACUG